rnacentral:rRNA from 1 species
CUGAUGGAGCACGCCGCGUGAGUGAAGAAGGUUUUCGGAUCGUAAAGCUCUGUUGUUGGUGAAGAAGGAUAGAGGUAGUAACUGGCCUUUAUUUGACGGUAAUCAACCAGAAAGUCACGGCUAACUACGUGCCAGCAGCCGCGGUAAUACGUAGGUGGCAAGCGUUGUCCGGAUUUAUUGGGCGUAAAGCGAGCGCAGGCGGAAGAAUAAGUCUGAUGUGAAAGCCCUCGGCUUAACCGAGGAAUUGCAUCGGAAACUGUUUUUCUUGAGUGCAGAAGAGGAGAGUGGAACUCCAUGUGUAGCGGUGGAAUGCGUAGAUAUAUGGAAGAACACCAGUGGCGAAGGCGGCUCUCUGGUCUGCAACUGACGCUGAGGCUCGAAAGCAUGGGUAGCGAACAGGAUUAGAUACCCUGGUAGUCCAUGCCGUAAACGAUGAGUGCUAAGUGUUGGGAGGUUUCCGCCUCUCAGUGCUGCAGCUAACGCAUUAAGCACUCCGCCUGGGGAGUACGACCGCAAGGUUGAAACUCAAAGGAAUUGACGGGGGCCCGCACAAGCGGUGGAGCAUGUGGUUUAAUUCGAAGCAACGCGAAGAACCUUACCAGGUCUUGACAUCUAGUGCCAUCCUAAGAGAUUAGGAGUUCCCUUCGGGGACGCUAAGACAGGUGGUGCAUGGCUGUCGUCAGCUCGUGUCGUGAGAUGUUGGGUUAAGUCCCGCAACGAGCGCAACCCUUAUUAUUAGUUGCCAGCAUUAAGUUGGGCACUCUAAUGAGACUGCCGGUGACAAACCGGAGGAAGGUGGGGAUGACGUCAAGUCAUCAUGCCCCUUAUGACCUGGGCUACACACGUGCUACAAUGGGCAGUACAACGAGAAGCGAGCCUGCGAAAGGCAAGCGAAUCUCUGAAAGCUGUUCUCAGUUCGGACUGCAGUCUGCAACUCGACUGCACGAAGCUGGAAUCGCUAGUAAUCGCGGAUCAG